CUUUUGAUAAAUGAAAUAUUUUUAAAUUAAAAGUCAAAGUGCCUAAUAACAGUAAUUGAUAACCAAGAAAUAUCAAACCUGUUCUAAUGUCUCAUAAGUAGAUACUCCUAAAUGGAAACAUAGUACUUACAAUAUUUAAGUAAAAUCUAAAUUUCCUUGAAACGUCUAGCUUUUCUAGUAGAAACUUCUUCAAUGGAAGAACUUGACGCUUCAUUGUCAUUC
rnacentral:lncRNA from 1 species